UGCAAGUCGAGCGGUAGAGAGGUGCUUGCACCUCUUGAGAGCGGCGGACGGGUGAGUAAUGCCUAGGAAUCUGCCUGGUAGUGGGGGAUAACGUUCGGAAACGAACGCUAAUACCGCAUACGUCCUACGGGAGAAAGCAGGGGACCUUCGGGCCUUGCGCUAUCAGAUGAGCCUAGGUCGGAUUAGCUAGUUGGUGAGGUAAUGGCUCACCAAGGCGACGAUCCGUAACUGGUCUGAGAGGAUGAUCAGUCACACUGGAACUGAGACACGGUCCAGACUCCUACGGGAGGCAGCAGUGGGGAAUAUUGGACAAUGGGCGAAAGCCUGAUCCAGCCAUGCCGCGUGUGUGAAGAAGGUCUUCGGAUUGUAAAGCACUUUAAGUUGGGAGGAAGGGUUGUAGAUUAAUACUCUGCAAUUUUGACGUUACCGACAGAAUAAGCACCGGCUAACUCUGUGCCAGCAGCCGCGGUAAUACAGAGGGUGCAAGCGUUAAUCGGAAUUACUGGGCGUAAAGCGCGCGUAGGUGGUUCGUUAAGUUGGAUGUGAAAGCCCCGGGCUCAACCUGGGAACUGCAUUCAAAACUGUCGAGCUAGAGUAUGGUAGAGGGUGGGUGGAAUUUCCUGUGUAGCGGUGAAAUGCGUAGAUAUAGGAAGGAACACCAGUGGCGAAGGCGACCACCUGGACUGAUACUGACACUGAGGUGCGAAAGCGUGGGGAGCAAACAGGAUUAGAUACCCUGGUAGUCCACGCCGUAAACGAUGUCAACUAGCCGUUGGGAGCCUUGAGCUCUUAGUGGCGCAGCUAACGCAUUAAGUUGACCGCCUGGGGGAGUACGGCCGCAAGGUUAAAACUCAAAUGAAUUGGACGGGGGCCCGCACAAGCGGUGGA
rnacentral:rRNA from 1 species